rnacentral:rRNA from 1 species
GACGAACCGUCCAAACGUUAUUCGGAAUCACUGGGCUUACAGAGUUCGUAGGCGGUCUGGAAAGUUGGGUGUGAAAUCCCUCGGCUCAACCGAGGAACUGCGCUUGAUACUGGGAAGCUCGAGUCCGGAAGAGGUGAGUGGAACUCCGAGUGUAGAGGUGAAAUUCGUAGAUAUUCGGAAGAACACCAGUGGCGAAGGCGGCUCACUGGUCCGGUACUGACGCUGAGGUGCGAAAGCGUGGGGAGCAAACAGG